rnacentral:rRNA from 1 species
CCUACGGGAGGCAGCAGUAGGGAAUAUUGCUCAAUGGGGGAAACCCUGAAGCAGCAACGCCGCGUGGAGGAUGAAGGUUUUAGGAUUGUAAACUCCUUUUGUUAGAGAAGAUUAUGACGGUAUCUAACGAAUAAGCACCGGCUAACUCCGUGCCAGCAGCCGCGGUAAUACGGAGGGUGCAAGCGUUACUCGGAAUCACUGGGCGUAAAGAGUGCGUAGGCGGGGUAAUAAGUCAGAUGUGAAAUCCUGUGGCUUAACUCCAGAACUGCAUUUGAAACUGUUACUCUGGAGUGUGGGAGAGGUAAGUGGAAUUCUUGGUGUAGGGGUAAAAUCCGUAGAGAUCAAGAGGAAUACUCAUUGCGAAGGCGACCUGCUGGAACAUUACUGACGCUGAUGCACGAAAGCGUGGGGAGCAAACAGGAUUAGAUACCCCUGUAGUC